ACAUGCCUACACCAUAGUGUUAAUGCACCGGAUCCCAUUAGAGCUCCACAGUUAAGCACACUUAGGCUAGAGUAGUACUAGGAUGGGUGACCGCCCGAGAAGUCCUAGUGUUUUACAUGCC
rnacentral:rRNA from 1 species